CUGUCUGGGGUGUGAGCUGAGCUCUAGCACCAGGGCUCAGGGAGGGGCUGGGUAGCCCCUGGAUGGACACACAUUUGCAUGGACAGCCCCUCCCCUGGCAGAAGGUGGGGAGAAAAGGAGGCCUGGGCAGCCCAGCCCCACUGUGGGCUCAGGGGCUGUGUGCACCAUGGCCUGGACCCCUUUCCUCCUCGUGCUCCUCUCUCACUGCACAGGUUCCCUCUCCCAGCCUGUGCUGACUCAGCCGCCCUCCCUCUCUGCUUCUCUGGGAGCCACAGCCAGACUCACCUGUACCCUCAGCCGUGACAUCAGUGUUGUCGACCACCACAUAUGGUGGUACCAGAAGAAGCCAGGGAGCCCUCCCCGGUACCUCCUGGCAUAUAAAUCGGACUCAGAGAAGCACCAGGGCUCCGGGGUCCCCAGCCGCUUCUCUGGAUCCUAAGACACCUCGGCCAAUGCAGGGCUCCUGACCAUCUCGGGGCUGCAGCCUGAGGACGACGCCCACUAUCACUGUGGGAACUGGA